rnacentral:SRP_RNA from 1 species
GCCGGGCGUGGUGGCGGGUGCCUGUAAUCCCAGCUACUAGGGAGGCUGAGGCAGGAGAAUCGCUUGAGCCUGGGAGGCAGAGGUUGCAGUGAGCAGAGUUCAUGCCACUGCACUCCAGCCUGGGUGACAGAGCAAGACUCUGCCUCUG